rnacentral:rRNA from 1 species
AUUGAACGCUGGCGGCAUGCUUUACACAUGCAAGUCGAACGGUAACGCGCCGCUAGGUGCGGACGCGUGGGGCGCGGGUGAGUGAUUCACAGGAAAGUGCCCAGUCCUGGGGGAUAACUAAACUAAAGAGUAGCUAAUAUCGCACACGAUCUAUGGUUGUGAGCGGGGGAGCGUGAUGGCUCGCGCGAGUGGAGCGGGCGAGGUCGGAUGAGUUAGUUGGUGGGGUAAAGGCUCACCAAGGCAACGAUCUGUAGCUGUACUGAGAGGACGAGCAGCCACACUGGGACUGAGACACGGCCCAGACUCCUACGGGAGGCAGCAGUGGGGAAUUUUGGACAAUGGGCGCAAGCCUGAUCCAGCAAUGCCGCGUGUGGGAAGAAAGCCUUCGGGUUGUAAAGUGCUUUUGUACGGAACGAAACGGCUCUGGUUAAUACCCGGCGUGAAUGACGGUACCGUAAGAAUAAGCACCGGCUAACUACGUG